rfam:TPA: Bos taurus chromosome 13, whole genome shotgun sequence.
UCCCUGGUAGUCCAGCGGUUAAGAUUCUGCCCUUCCGCUGCAGGGGACCUGGGUUCUAUCCCUAGUCAGGGAA